UUUAAUGGAGAGUUUGAUCCUGGCUCAGGACGAACGCUGGCGGCGUGCCUAAUACAUGCAAGUCGAGCGGGGUUAGUUAGAAGCUUGCUUCUAACUAACCUAGCGGCGGACGGGUGAGUAACACGUAGGCAACCUGCCCACAAGACAGGGAUAACUACCGGAAACGGUAGCUAAUACCCGAUACAUCCUUUUCCUGCAUGGGAGAAGGAGGAAAGGCGGAGCAAUCUGUCACUUGUGGAUGGGCCUGCGGCGCAUUAGCUAGUUGGUGGGGUAAAGGCCUACCAAGGCGACGAUGCGUAGCCGACCUGAGAGGGUGAUCG
rnacentral:rRNA from 1 species